ACGGUCGCAAGACUAAAACUCAAAGAAAUUGACGGGGACCCGCACAAGCGGUGGAGUAUGUGGCUUAAUUCGAUGCAACGCGAAGAACCUUACCAAGGCUUGACAUGCAUCUCUAAGCGCGUGAAAGCGCGUGACCCUUCGGGGGAUUUGCACAGGUGCUGCAUGGCCGUCGUCAGCUCGUGUCGUGAGAUGUUGGGUUAAGUCCCGCAACGAGCGCAACCCUUGUGAACAGUUGCCAGCGCGUCAUGGCGGGAACUCUGUUCAGACUGCCCAGAUCAACUGGGAGGAAGGUGGGGACGACGUCAGGUCAGUAUGGCCCUUACGCCUUGGGCUGCACACGUACUACAAUGCCCAGUACAAUGAGAACCGAUGCCGCGAGGUGGAGGAAAUCUGCAAAACUGGGCCCAGUUCGGAUUGGAGGCUGCAACUCGCCUCCAUGAAGUUGGAAUCGCUAGUAAUGGCGCAUCAUCUACGGCGCCGUGAAUACGUUCCCGGGUCUUGUACACACCGCCCGUCACAUCAUGGAAGCCGGUCGCACCCGAAGUGCCCGCGCCAACCGCAAGGAGGCAGGGUCCUAAGGUGUAGCUGGUAACUGGGAUG
rnacentral:rRNA from 1 species